rnacentral:rRNA from 1 species
UAGGGAAGUUUUCGUUCAAUGGGCGCAAGCCUGAACGAGCAAUGCCGCGUGAGUGAGGAAGGUCUUCGGACUGUAAAGCUCUGUUGCCGGGGAAAAAGGGGAAAUGCAGGAAAUGGCAUUUCAUGGAUGGUACCCGGCCAGAAAGCCACGGCUAACUACGUGCC